rnacentral:rRNA from 1 species
UACGUAGGGGGCAAGCGUUGUCCGGAUUUAUUGGGCGUAAAGAGCGUGUAGGCGGCCGCACAGGUCCGUUGUGAAAACUGGAGGCUCAACCUUCAGACGUCGAUGGAAACCGUGCGGCUAGAGUCCGGAAGAGGAGAGUGGAAUUCCUGGUGUAGCGGUGAAAUGCGCAGAUAUCAGGAGGAACACCGGUGGCGAAGGCGGGUCUCUGGGCCGAUACUGACGCUGAGGAGCGAAAGCGUGGGGAGCGAACAGG